UGUUGCGACCAUGCCACCCGAAGUCGCCCGACCUCGUCUGAUCUCGGAAGCUAAGCAGGGUUGGGCCUGGUUAGUACUUGGAUGGGAGAAAAUAGUAACACUGAGGAAAUCACUUGUUUAGGGCAGUAC
ensembl:rRNA 5S_rRNA 5S ribosomal RNA